CGGGCAAUUUAUUUCCAUCGAAGCGUACGGCAACAGAGAACCGGGGCCACUAUAGGCCACUAUAUACAGUACAGUGGGAAGAAACACUAAGCAGUGCUUAAAAAGACAUGUCGAAAAUGUGUUAACAAGCCACGCAUGGCUGACAGCUACACUUUAGUGACCAAGAAAAACAUCACGUUACUCCUGAGCUUUCAUUCUAUUUUUUUCUAUUUUUUUUUUUAGUCCCAGUAACGUUUCACGUUCAUGAAAGGGAUCCUUUCCCACACUGUGAAACGCUGAGGUGAUGUGAUGAUGGGCUGUCACAUGCACGGAGAGGGCCUCUCCGAGGGCCGGAAAGAGCGGAAACGCAGGAAAUUCUCCACAUUCCUGACAGGAAGAGAUAAUAAGCUUCCGACCAACAGCGCGGGAAAAAUAACCACCAGAAACAGAGUAGAGCUUCUGAGACAGUAGCUAAAGUGUGUGUGUGUGUGUGUGUGUGUGUGUGUGUGUGUGUGUGUGUGUGUGUGUGUGUGUGUGUGUGUGUAUGUGUGUAUGUGUGUGUGUGUGUUUUUACAGAGAGCAGGGUGAACCCAAACCCAAACAGCUCCAAAGAGACAGGUCGAAGAAAUAGCGAGAGAGAGAGACCGAGAGAAAUUCUAGGUGGUGCUGAAGGUGAAGGGAAAAGUGAAGGCUCUGCUGCAGAUUUAAAUAAUUCAGAUGGAAACACCGCUGGUCCUGUGUAAACACCAGCAGAACUUAAUGCUUAAGAAGGUCAUCUACUGCAUCAGAGCAGAGGCUGUACGGUAAAUGCUCACAAAUCAGUCCUCCGUCUUUACCUACAGUAAGCUUGUUACACAAACCAGGGAAAAAAAUCCACACAAAUUCCUUGAUUUUUGUAUUAUAGUAAUAUUUAUAGUAUUCUCUAUAAUAACCUUUUGUUCUAUGUUUAGGUUCUGUGAAGCUGCUUUGAGACGAUGCCAACUGUAAAAAGCGCCUUACAGAUAAAUUAACAAGAAAGUCCACAAUCUUUUCCAAUUAAAUUGCACCUAAAUGCAUCUGACUACACAAACAUUACAAUAUCUCAUAUAACUGCUGCUAUUACACUUUCAUUUCACUGUGUACGGCAUCUGCGAUAUACAGUAUGGUUGAGUUGACAAUAAAAUCUUCUUGACUUGACUUGACUUAGACAUCUACUCCAACAGACCAUUUUAUGCUCUGGAGACCGAUAUAAUUAGUUUUAAAUGACUACAUCGCUUCAUUCGAACAUUUUCUACUAUACAUUUUUUUUUGCAGCAAUGUUUUGGCAGCUUUGUUUCAUUUCAUGUCCCUUAUUUAUCAUUAUCAUCGUAGAAUAUGGCGAAUGAACACUUGUCUGAAAGACAUUUAUCAGUAGCUUCACAAACAAGGGAACCGAGGCGUUUCACACGCUCGCUGAGGGUCUGAGGGGAGACGAGGCGAGAAGCAAACCUAUAAUUCUGCAUUCCAGCUUUGCCGCUGUGCAAGCCUUCACUUUAAUAACAGCGUCAAGAGGAAAAGAAAUUCCUUUGAAAGUAA